AACGAACGCUGGCGGCAGGCUUAAUACAUGCAAGUCGAGCGGUCUCUUUCGGGAGACAGCGGCGGACGGGUUAGUAACGCGUGGGAACGUGCCCUUUAGUACGGAAUAGCCAUUGGAAACGAUGAUUAAUACCGUAUACGCCCUAUGGGGGAAAGAUUUAUCGCUAAAGGAUCGGCCCGCGUUAGAUUAGGUUGUUGGUGGGGUAAUGGCCUACCAAGCCUACGAUCUAUAGCUGGUUUGAGAGGAUGAUCAGCAACACUGGGACUGAGACACGGCCCAGACUUCUACGGAAGGCAGCAGUAGGGAAUCUUGGACAAUGGGCGAAAGCCUGAUCCAGCCAUGCCGCGUGAGUGAUGAAGGCCCUAGGGUUGUAAAACUCUUUCGCCAGGGAAGAUAAUGACGGUACCUGGUAAAGAAACCCCGGCUAACUCCGUGCCAGCCGCCGCCGUAACAC
rnacentral:rRNA from 1 species